UUACGGAUAGUUUAAAGGUAGAACAGCAGUUUAUAAAACUGUUAAUGAGGGUUCAAAUCCCUCUCCAACUUAAA
rnacentral:tRNA from 1 species